ACAGACAUCCUUUUGGCUGAGUUCUGCUGCCUGAAAACUUCUGUCAAAACACAGAAUCGUUUCUGGAAGUGAGACGAUUGAACUGGUUUCUUGCCAACAGGUGUCCCAGAAGGAGCGUUCGCAGCUCCCUGGAGGCGGGAACGGAGUCCCCCGGGGAGAGAGUGGUCCAGGGUUUGCCCUCAGGCGUCCACACUGUCCGCCGGCGAGGCUGGUCCUGUUCCCAGCACCCACGCUGCUAGAGCCACCGGAUCUCCCAGGAGGAGACCCAGCUGCACUCAGAAGAAUCACGCUGGCCUAGGAGAUGGACGGCGGCGUGCGGGAGGGUGAGUCUGCUGACUUUUGCCUGCAAACCCUGAGAUGCGGUGACAUAAAAAGUGAGAAAAUCGCCAUUCCCUCUCAGCAGCGCAGCAGGACCGUGUGCGGCUGCAAAGCUGAGCUGUCGUCUUGCCUGUGGCUUCCGAAAUGCAGCCCUGGGCCCUGUGAUCGCUGCAUUUUCUCUGCGCAGCUUUGAGGGACGGAGUGUGCUGACCAACAGAAGAAAGGCAAACAGCAGAAACUGACACUGUGGUGGCCACUGGACGUGGCCUCGGUCGGCUGCGGAGAGAGAAUUUAUUUCCACAGCGACCCUCAGGAGGCGCAGGUCUUGGCCAGACCCAUUCUUAGAAAGGAACAUGAGAUCAGAAAGG